rnacentral:lncRNA from 1 species
GUCACACAUCAGGUAGGGUCACACAGCAGAGAGGGUCACACAGCAGGGAGGGUCACACAGCAGGGAGGGUCACACAGCAGGGAGGGUCACACAGCAGUGAGGGUCACACAGCAGUGAGGGUCACACAGCAGGUAGGGUCACACAGCAGUGAGGGUCACACAGCAGGUAGGGUCACACAGCAGGGAGGGUCACACAGCUGGUAGGGUCACACAGCAGGUAGGGUCACACAGCAGGUAGGGUCACACAGCAGGGAGGGUCACACAGCAGGGAGGGUCACACAGCAGGGAGGGUCACACAGCAGGGAGGGUCACACAGGGUUACCUUUUCCUUCUUUGCCAUAGCCCAGGGCAGGAGGAACGGUGAGCUUUCGCUUCUCUCCCACACACAUUCCCUUCAAGCCUUGGUCCCAGCCUUUGAGAACCUCCAGUAUGCCCAGGGUGAACCAGACAGGCUGACCAUUGUUAUGUUUGUGACUGCCAGAAAGGAAACACAGCAGAAUUUUAAAAGCUCAUUUUGUUCUUAACCACUAGGAAUUGAAGCCAGAGCCCUGUGCAUGCUAGGUAAGCACUCU